rnacentral:rRNA from 1 species
GUAGGUGGCAAGCGUUGUCCGGAAUUAUUGGGCGUAAAGCGCGCGCAGGCGGUUCUUUAAGUCUGAUGUGAAAGCCCACGGCUCAACCGUGGAGGGUCAUUGGAAACUGGAGAACUUGAGUACAGAAGAGGAAAGCGGAAUUCCACGUGUAGCGGUGAAAUGCGUAGAGAUGUGGAGGAACACCAGUGGCGAAGGCGGCUUUCUGGUCUGUAACUGACGCUGAGGCGCGAAAGCGUGGGGAGCAAACAGGAUUAGAUACCCUGGUAGUCCACGCCGUAAACGAUGAGUGCUAAGUGUUAGGGGGGUUUCCGCCCCCCUUAGUGCUGCAGCUAACGCAUUAAGCACUCCGCCUGGGAGUACGGCCGUAAGGCUG